GAGUUUGAUCCUGGCUCAGGAUGAACGCUAGCGGCAGGCCUAACACAUGCAAGUCGAGGGGCAUCACGGAAAAGCUUGCUUUUCUGGUGGCGACCGGCGCACGGGUGCGGAACGCGUAUGGAACCUGCCCCUGUCAGGGGAAUAGCCCAGGGAAACUUGGAUUAAUGCCCCAUGGUACCGUUAUAUCGCAUGAUAUUGCGGUUAAAGAUUUAUCGGACAGGGAUGGCCAUGCGUACCAUUAGUUAGUUGGUGAGGUAACGGCUCACCAAGGCAGCGAUGGUUAGGGGCCCUGAGAGGGGGAUCCCCCACACUGGUACUGAGACACGGACCAGACUCCUACGGGAGGCAGCAGUGAGGAAUAUUGGACAAUGGGCGGGAGCCUGAUCCAGCCAUGCCGCGUGCAGGAUGACGGCCCUAUGGGUUGUAAACUGCUUUUAUACGGGAAGAAACGCGCCCACGUGUGGGCGUUUGACGGUACCGUAAGAAUAAGGACCGGCUAACUCCGUGCCAGCAGCCGCGGUAAUACGGAGGGUCCGAGCGUUAUCCGGAAUCAUUGGGUUUAAAGGGUCCGUAGGCGGGCCUGUAAGUCAGGGGUGAAAGUUUGUGGCUCAACCAUAAAAUUGCCUUUGAUACUGCAGGUCUUGAGUCAUGGUGGGGUUGCCGGAACAUGUGGUGUAGCGGUGAAAUGCAUAGAUAUCACAUAGAACACCGAUCGCGAAGGCAGGUGACCAACCAUGUGCUGACGCUGAUGGACGAAAGCGUGGGUAGCGAACGGGAUUAGAUACCCCGGUAGUCCACGCCGUAAACGAUGGAUACUGGCUGUGGGGUUUUCGGACUCCGUGGCCAAGCGAAAGUGAUAAGUAUCCCACCUGGGGAGUACGUUCGCAAGAAUGAAACUCAAAGGAAUUGACGGGGGCCCGCACAAGCGGUGGAGCAUGUGGUUUAAUUCGAUGAUACGCGAGGAACCUUACCAGGGCUUAAAUGCAGGCUGCAUGGGGUAGAGAUACCCCUUUCUUCGGACCGCCUGCAAGGUGCUGCAUGGUUGUCGUCAGCUCGUG
rnacentral:rRNA from 1 species